CUCAUGUCGGCCCCAGCCCUGAGGCUACCUGACCUGACAAAACUCUUUACACUCUAUGUGUCAGAAAAAUAAAAAAUGGCAAUUGGAGUUUUAACCCAGACUGUAAGGCCCUGGACAAGGCCAGUGGCCUAUCUCUCAAAACAACUAGAGCAAGUUUCCAGAGGGUAGCCCCCACGGUCUAAGAGCCCUAGCAGCCAUGGCCCUGUUAGCACAAGAAGCAAAUAAACUAACCCUUAGGCAAAACCUGAAUAUAAAGGCCCCCUAUGCUGUAGUAACUUUAAUGACUACCAAAGGACAUCAUUAGUUAACAAAUGCUAGAUUAACCAAGUACCAAAGCUUGCUAUGUGAAAAUCCCCCAUAACCAUUAAAGUUUCCAACACCCUAAACCCUGCCACCUUGCCCCCGGUAUCAGAUUGCCCAGUUGAACAUAACUGUGUAGAGGUGUUGGACUCAGUUUAUUCUAGCAGGCCCAACCUCCAAGACCAUCCUUAAACAGAAGUAGACUGUGGAUGGGAGCAGCUUCACCACCCCUGCAAAGUGACUCUGAAGAAGACGACAAGCCCUGCUCCAGUCACACCCGGAAGCUGACUGGUCCACGCACGGCCAAAGCAUGAGAAAACUCAUCACAGUACUCUUUUUCCUUAAAAUUUAGACUUUUACAGUAAGGACUUCAAUUGACCUUCCUCAGACUGAAGACUGUUCCCAGUGUGUACAUCAAGUCACUGAGAUGGAGUCUCCCAUUGUCACCAAGGCUGGAGUGCACUGGUGCGAUCUCGGCUCACUGCAACCUCCGCCUCCCAGGUUGAAGCGAUUCUCCUGCCUCAGCCUCCCAAGUAGCUGGGACUACAGGUGACUGCCACCACACCCAGCUAAUUUUUUUUUUGUAUUUUUAGUAGAGACGGGGUUUCACUAUGUUGGCCAGGCUGGUCUCAAACUACUGACUUCGUGAUCUGCCCACCUCGGCCUCCCAAAGGGCUGGGAUUACAGGCGUGAGCCUCCGCGCCCGACCCUUUUUAUCAUUCUAUCAACAUAACCAGUGUUCUCCUUUCAUCUUAGACUCAAACGCUUAAUGUAUUAGUCAACCAGUUGCUUGUCUAACUUUAUUCUUUAAUUUGUUAACAAAAUCUACCAGUUACUCUUUUUCUACAUGUUUUAGAUAUAACCAUUAUUUCCAUUUCCACUCACUUUAUUUCAGCUCAGGUCUUAAUUUAGUCUUCUUUUUUCACAAAUGUUUCACUAAACAUUUGUGAAAUGUUAAUCUCUGCACUUAUAAUUUCCCUGUUUUUAACCUAUUUACCUCCCCAGACAACGAGUAACUUAAUAAAAUUCCCCACUUCCUACUUGUCAAUCUGCAAAUAAUAUCAUGUCAGUGAAUGUGCUGGUGAUUCAGGCAAUUAUACAGAUCUUUAUAAAACUUCAUGUCUUGGCAAAAAUGUAUUAUUGACUGGUGGUAAAAUAUUUGCAUAGGAAGUUAUAUAUAGUGUAAGUAAUACAUAUGUGUGUGUGACUGUGACUGUGUGGGUAUGGGUGGAUGGUACAAAUCAUGCCCAACUGUAACUAUUAAGAAUGCUAAAAAAAAAAAAAAACCCUAAGAACCAAAUAUUAUCAAACUGUCAAAGUUUAACUCAACUUUCAGCCAGCCUUCUUUUUUUCUGUAUUUGCACAGUUAUAAUCAAACAGUUAAAUCUUGCUUACUACAUGUUGACU
rnacentral:lncRNA from 1 species